GGUUGAUCCUGCCAGUAGUCAUAUGCUUGUCUCAAAGACUAAGCCAUGCAUGUCUAAGUAUAAACAAUUUUAUACUGCGAAACUGCGAACGGCUCAUUAUAUCAGUUAUAAUCUACUUGAUCGUAUCCUCUUACUUGGAUAACCGUAGUAAUUCUAGAGCUAAUACAUGCAAAAGAUCCCGACUGGUGACGGAAGGGAUGUAUUUAUUAGAUCCAAAAUCAAUACUGGCUUCGGCUAGGAAAAAUUGAUGAUUCAUAAUAACUAAACGAAGCGCAGAGGGCUUGUCCCGGCG
rnacentral:rRNA from 1 species